UACAGAGGAUGCAAGCGUUAUCCGGAAUGAUUGGGCGUAAAGCGUCCGCAGGUGGUUUUGUAAGUCUGCUGUUAAAGCGUUAGGCUCAACCUAAUAAGGGCAGUGGAAACUAUGAGACUAGAGUAUGUUAGGGGUAGAGGGAAUUCCCAGUGUAGCGGUGAAAUGCGUAGAGAUUGGGAAGAACACCGGUGGCGAAAGCGCUCUGCUAGGACAAUACUGACACUGAGGGACGAAAGCUAGGGGAGCGAAUGGG
rnacentral:rRNA from 1 species